rnacentral:lncRNA from 1 species
GGAGAGAAGGGGGACAGAGGCUGGCGUGGUUUAUUUGGUGACAUUGGUACACCAGGAACACAUGAGGUAAAUAAUCCACAGAAUAACUAACUAAUACCAAUACUAGCAUUCUACCUGUGUACUUCCCAUUGCUUUCACAACAAAUGUGUGUGUAUAUUUUUACAGGGUCCUCAAGGGCGCACUGGUUCAAGGGUAAGCUUAGUUCAAAGUGUAACAAAUAAUAUACUUAAUAAAUUAAUGUUGUAGGUCUAGUUGCGGGUAAACAAAAAUGACACAUUAAAAUUGACGUUAAUCAUAUAAACAGGGUGUGAAGGGACUUAAAGGUGACCCAGGAAAAAGAGGUGGAAAGGUUAGUUCUCAAUAAAGUUUCAUUCACUGUUGGAGCAUCAUAUCUACUUUUACUUCAUCAUAAAUGAAUGUGUAAUUCAACAGGGUUACACAGGGAAGCCUGGUCUCCAUGGACAGAAGGUGAAUAAAUAUCUGGCAUGCUAUUAAAUUAAGAUGGUGAAACAAAGCCCUUAGCCAGGAGGGAAAGGUCAAUUAACAGCAAUCACUUUAAAUCUCUAAACGAUGAAGCAUUUGCGGCCAAUAUAUUGCCCAUUUAUUAGUAAUAUUUUUUUGAUUAUGUGGUGGUAUGCUUAAUGGUUUAGGGUGACACAGGACAAAAAGGAAACACUGGACUGCGAGGACUGGAUGGAUCUAUGGGAGCACCCGGAUAUAGAGGGAAAAAAGGAAUAAAAGGUGGUCAGGGACCCCAGGGAUUGACUGGACAUAAUGGAGUUGUGGGUAAACGAGGCUCAAUAGGUGAAACUGGUGCUUCAGGGAAAGGUUAAGUAUGGAUAUAAUGAUUUGUGGCUACUGUAUUUAUUCCAUUAAGAGUACCAAUUUGGACAUGACUGUAUAUCAAUAGAUUAUGUUAUUUAAAGUAUACUCAUUGUAGUUGUAUUUGUACUCAUUGUAUAAUUUAUGCAUGACAAAAGCUAUGGAUGUUGCUGAUUAUAGAAAAGUAUAUAUAAUGAAUACAAUUAUUGUGUUUCUUCUAGUAUACAUUUUUCCAGGACACAGAGGAGAGGAAGGUGAUAAAGGCCCUCCAGCAUUUUGUAAUUGCUCUUUUGCAAAUUAUUUUGAGCCAAUCAGUGGACGGGGAAGACAUAAUUAUAAGGCUACAUCUAUUUACAUUGUGAAUGGCGAGAGUGAGAUGUCAGAGUUGAGAUAUGAAAAUGUCAUGGUCCUGAGGAGGGAUACUCACAUGCUGUUUGUCUACAAUGGCUAUGAAUGGAUUAAUGUACGUGCUCAGGUAAAAAUGCACACUUAUAUUACUUUAUCUUAUACAAAUGUGUACCAUAUUUACUGUAGUGUUUCACUUUUCACCAGAGCCAUAGACAGCUAGGGUUGCUGUGAACUGCAGUGAAUUAUUGUAUACCAUUUGAGGCACAUGUUUUGUCACAAUAUUGUGUCUAAUCUAUUAUUCAUUUUUUUUUUUUUACUUCAUCAUGAUGUUGGUGUUGGGGACAAAACAAACAUCCUACUGCACAUGCUCUGUCUGUGGCCAUCCUUCUGGAAAAAGCUUCAGCAUAAAUGAGAAGCCAAACCACAUGUCUGAUGGAAUGUUUGUCACUUUUACCUGCUGUGUAAUAAAUGCA